CCUUGCUGUAGAUUCAAUGUUUAUUCUAAUUUCCGAAAGCUGUGCGGGGAAUUGGGAACUUUUCAGAGGAAGAAGAUUGUUUGGCCUGCAGCUACAAACGUUAGCAGCAAUGGCGAGUUCUAAUUCUGACUCAUUAAACGCAGUGAGCCGCUUGGUGGAGAGCAUUUCCUCUUACGACAGCAACGUUAUGCUUGCAGCUGUGGUUUCUUUACUUCUUGUUAUCCUCUUUGUGUUGCUUCUUCACAUCUACGCCAAGUGGUUCUUAGCACAAGCUCGUCAAAGAAGAAGAAACUCCAUCUCUGUUUCUCAAGUCCUACGCCCCGCUCAUCGUUUUCAUCAUUUCCAUACAUUCACAUUUGAUACUACUACUACUACUACUACUACUGCAACUCUAUAUUCGUCUCCUUCAAAGGGUCUUGAACCUUCCUCGAUUGCUUCGAUUCCGCUGUUUGUUUACACCUCAAAUGAAUCUAAGCAAGGGUUGGAAUGUGUUAUUUGUUUAAGUGGGUUUGAAGAUAAUGAUGUUGGUAGGAGUUUACCCAAGUGUAGCCAUUGUUUUCAUGUUGAAUGUAUUGAUAUGUGGCUGCAUUCUCACUCCAGUUGUCCCAUUUGUAGAGCUCCAGUUGUUGGUGACAAGAAUGCUGCUAUUUCCAGCACUGUUAAUGAAGUAGAGAACGAUGUGAGUAAUAAUUCUAUGGAGAAUGUAGGUGGGGAUUUGUUGGAGAUUGUGGUUGAAGCAGAGUCAAGAUUGGAGAGACUGAGUAAUGUAUCAGAAUCGAACUGUGAGAUAAGUGAUGAUCAGGAUGUUAUGAGAAUGAAUGUUGAGGUAACAUCACCAUCAACAUCUUCUUCUUCUUCUUCUUCAUUGGGGUGCUCUUUGAAAAGAAUGUUGAGUAGAAAUCGAUCUGAAUGCAAAGUGUUUCCUUCAUCCAAAGAUCGUGUCAAUGAAUUAGAUGCAUAGCAUUUUGACAGAGAGAGAGAGACUCAGCUAUCUUUUUGUCAGUGUUUACUGUAACUAGAUCGAUUGUAUAGAUUUCUUUAAACUUGUUAGUAUCAUCUUUCUCAUAGUUCCCAUUGGGCCAGGAUGGCAAGCUAUUGAUGAUACUCGGCUCCACCCCAAUUGGCGACGAUGAUCUUCUGGCGCCACCACCUAGCGCUCGCGCCGGUGAAAAGAUUAUA